rnacentral:rRNA from 1 species
UACGUAGGUGUCGAGCGUUGUCCGGAUUUAUUGGGCGUAAAGAGCCCGCAGGCGGCUUGGCAAGUUUGAGGUGAAAUCUCCCGGCUUACUGGGAGGGGCCUCGAAAACUGCCAGGCUCGAGGCAUGGAGAGGGAUGCGGAAUUUCCGGUGGAGCGGUGAAAUGCGCAGAGAUCGGAAAGAACACCAACGGCGAAAGCACUCUGCUGGGCCGACACUGACACUGAGAGACGAAGCUAGGGAGCGAAUGGG